UUGGGCAGUUACCAAUAAAAAAGUUGGUAGCUAUAGGACAUGCUGGCAACGCCAAACUGUGGAGGUGGAAAAGAAGCCAUCACCAAUGGCUCCUACAAUUCAAAUGGAAAUGGCAGAAGCCAUGGCGACUUUCAGAAUGGAUCAGACACAGUGAUGAAACACUAAUAAGGGCAAGGCCUCGUUCUCAAGCUCUGACACAUAGAGUCUGAUAUUCGAUGGUCACCAUAUUACUUUGGCCAAAGUAAUCUUAGGUUUUAUGCAUAUUCCUAACUGAGGUGCAGGGUGUAGCAAAAGAGCAGUU